CUUUGCUGACGAGUGGCGGACGGGUGAGUAAUGUCUGGGAAACUGCCUGAUGGAGGGGGAUAACUACUGGAAACGGUAGCUAAUACCGCAUAACGUCGCAAGACCAAAGAGGGGGACCUUCGGGCCUCUUGCCAUCGGAUGUGCCCAGAUGGGAUUAGCUUGUUGGUGGGGUAACGGCUCACCAAGGCGACGAUCCCUAGCUGGUCUGAGAGGAUGACCAGCCACACUGGAACUGAGACACGGUCCAGACUCCUACGGGAGGCAGCAGUGGGGAAUAUUGCACAAUGGGCGCAAGCCUGAUGCAGCCAUGCCGCGUGUAUGAAGAAGGCCUUCGGGUUGUAAAGUACUUUCAGCGGGGAGGAAGGGAGUAAAGUUAAUACCUUUGCUCAUUGACGUUACCCGCAGAAGAAGCACCGGCUAACUCCGUGCCAGCAGCCGCGGUAAUACGGAGGGUGCAAGCGUUAAUCGGAAUUACUGGGCGUAAAGCGCACGCAGGCGGUUUGUUAAGUCAGAUGUGAAAUCCCCGGGCUCAACCUGGGAACUGCAUCUGAUACUGGCAAGCUUGAGUCUCGUAGAGGGGGGUAGAAUUCCAGGUGUAGCGGUGAAAUGCGUAGAGAUCUGGAGGAAUACCGGUGGCGAAGGCGGCCCCCUGGACGAAGACUGACGCUCAGGUGCGAAAGCGUGGGGAGCAAACAGGAUUAGAUACCCUGGUAGUCCACGCCGUAAACGAUGUCGACUUGGAGGUUGUGCCCUUGAGGCGUGGCUUCCGGAGCUAACGCGUUAAGUCGACCGCCUGGGGAGUACGGCCGCAAGGUUAAAACUCAAAUGAAUUGACGGGGGCCCGCACAAGCGGUGGAGCAUGUGGUUUAAUUCGAUGCAACGCGAAGAACCUUACCUGGUCUUGACAUCCACGGAAGUUUUCAGAGAUGAGAAUGUGCCUUCGGGAACCGUGAGACAGGUGCUGCAUGGCUGUCGUCAGCUCGUGUUGUGAAAUGUUGGGUUAAGUCCCGCAACGAGCGCAACCCUUAUCCUUUGUUGCCAGCGGUCCGGCCGGGAACUCAAAGGAGACUGCCAGUGAUAAACUGGAGGAAGGUGGGGAUGACGUCAAGUCAUCAUGGCCCUUACGACCAGGGCUACACACGUGCUACAAUGGCGCAUACAAAGAGAAGCGACCUCGCGAGAGCAAGCGGACCUCAUAAAGUGCGUCGUAGUCCGGAUUGGAGUCUGCAACUCGACUCCAUGAAGUCGGAAUCGCUAGUAAUCGUGGAUCAGAAUGCCACGGUGAAUACGUUCCCGGGCCUUGUACACACCGCCCGUCACACCAUGGGAGUGGGUUGCAAAAGAAGUAGGUAGCUUAACCUUCGGGAGGGCGCUUACCACUUUGUGAUUCAUGACUGGGGUGAAGUCGUAACAAGGUAACCGUAGGGGAACCUGCGGUUGGAUCACCUCCUUA
rnacentral:rRNA from 1 species